AUUGAACGCUGGCGGCAGGCUUAACACAUGCAAGUCGAGCGGGGAAGGGUAGCUUGCUACCUAACCUAGCGGCGGACGGGUGAGUAAUGCUUAGGAAUCUGCCAUUUAGUGGGGGACAACAUUCCGAAAGGAAUGCUAAUACCGCAUACGUCCUACGGGAGAAAGCAGGGGAUCUUCGGACCUUGCGCUAUAUGAUGAGCCUAAGUCGGAUUAGCUAGUUGGUGGGGUAAAGGCCUACCAAGGCGACGAUCUGUAGCGGGUCUGAGAGGAUGGUCCGCCACACUGGGACUGAGACACGGCGCAGACUCCUACGGGAGGCAGCAGUGGGGAAUAUUGGACAAUGGGCGGAAGCCUGAUCCAGCCAUGCCGCGUGUGUGAAGAAGGCCUUAUGGUUGUAAAGCACUUUAAGCGAGGAGGAGGCUACUUAGAUUAAUACUCUAGGAUAGUGGACGUUACUCGCAGAAUAAGCACCGGCUAACUCUGUGCCAGCAGCCGCGGUAA
rnacentral:rRNA from 1 species